GUUGUUAUAUGUUUCAGUUGUGUUUUUCUUUGAUGUCUGAUGCUGUGACUGUGGCAUGGAGCUCACUGUUAGUUUUCCCAGAAAGGAGGAAUGUUGUCCAUGGUGUAGAGAGAACCAUGGAGAAUAUCCUAUCAGAAUUGAGGAGAAGAGGAUUGUUUUCCAUAUUCUUUGAGAGGAUUUUUGGCACUAAGGUAGCCUGGGAUGCAGAAGCCACCCCAUGCCAAGCUCCUGCAAGGUUAUCAGGUUACAUCAACAGCAUAUUGGAAAGCAGCACAAGGAGUGGUUCUGCUCUAGCCAUCCAGGAAUUUUCAAAUGCAGAUUUGGUGACCCUCAAGAAUGCAGGCCUGUCACACAAUGAAAAUAUAACUCAGAAUGGUAUGGUGCUGUAGACAGGAAGGAUGUUUACAGAAAAAAAUUGAAAGAACUGUGAUCUGAGAAAAAAUGCAAAAUGAAGUGAAUCUGUAGGAGAGCAGAGCAAAACAAAGAGCUACAGCUAGCAGGUAGCAGAUUUACUGAGAUUGAUAGUGAUAAUUUUGAAGUGAUCAGUUGCCAAGAUUAUUAGGAAUAAGAACCUAAGAAUGACAAGAAAGACUACAGUGAUUGUCAUCUCUGUUUGAUAUAAUUCAAGAUAUGAGCAUUUCCUUAGAGGUAUGAGGUCUGACAAAAGUUGAAGGGAUGCAGGAGACUGGUAGCAGACCUUGCCUCGAAAGCAUUCCUAUUGAUAUAGCUGAAUUAAAGACCCAAACACUUUUCAGGGGGCGGAAGCAAUGGCUUUGUAAUCCCCUCUGGAUAACCUGUCUGCAGUGUCUCAGCUUUUGUAUUUUCAUCUGUAUAUAUACAUAAACAUCUAUGCAUAUGAAUGUGUGCACACCUGAAUCCUGCUGUGAGGGAGGGUUUGGGCACAAGAGCUUUAGAGAUGGUGGAAUGGAAGAAAUGAUUGCACCAUUCUUUGGAAGAUGGUGCAGCAGGCAAGAGUGGCAUGACAGUUUUAGUAGUCCCCAGCACUCUCCCUCUGCUCUUCUGCGUAAGAAAAAACAGAGGCCCCGGAGGUUAGGAAAGGGCAAAGACCAGUGAAGUUGUGCCCGAGGUCUCUGAGCACAUGGGGAUUUGUCCAGCUGCC